CUGCAGGAACUCCAGCUUUAAGGCUGGAUGAAGGGAAACAGAGACGGAGAGUGAGCAAGGCUUCAACCCCCUAGGAUCCAAAGAAGACAGGGUGGCCACCCAGCUUGCAGGGGUGAAGGCAGUGAGUAGGAGCCCAGGCGCCUGACCAGCUAGCUGGAGGAUAAUCAGGACGACCAUUGAUCUGCCGCAGACACUCAAGCCCGCUGAGUGUUGUUCUCCGCAGUGCCCACAAGGGGGAGGGAUGAUCCGCGGAAACCUGAGCGCAGAGGCUCAGGGCUGCAGCGAACAGCGGAUGGAACCCUAGUUACUCUUCGUGCACCCGCUGGCUCCAAGUGCUUCCACGCCUCACUGCGUUUAAGGAACUGAAAUAUUGGAAGCUGUGCCAAGGAGAAGCAGAUGUCUGACUUUCACAUCCACCAUCUCAUCUGACCCGACCUCCACCCUAAGUUUCUAGGGAAGAAGAGAGUCCACCUCUCCAAACUGUUCCUUACAGAGCAGGUGGCGUUUUAGGAACGUUACUCGGCGCAUGCAUCCGUUAUUCGGUCAUAGGUUAGUUAACAUCCCCGCGGGCUUUGGGGCAGAACUCUGUAGUAAUCAAGCUCAUCUGCAUUUUGCAUGAAAACGUGAAUACUUAAUAAGUGAGGUGGAGGGACAUCCAGUGGCCUCAGUUUAAAAAAAAAGCAUCUAGGCUCUGCUGGACUGUGACCUCCCUCCGGCCCCCUCGCUCGCAGCGACCUACCUGCUUUAGGCUCU